rnacentral:lncRNA from 1 species
ACCCUAUCUAUAUACUUUGAGUUGAUUUUUAUUUUUGACUAUCUAUGACAGCGAUCACUCUCCUCCAAUAAAAAGACAGUCAUAUGUAUGGUUAUAUUAACACAAACUUUCUACAUUUUGCUCACUUCUAUCAUCUUAUCAAAUGUUUUGCGGUUUGGUGUCAGAAGAAGCAUGAGAACUAGAAAACAAAAGGGGAAAAUGAUCAGCCUUCAUUGGAAAAAAAAAAAA